rnacentral:rRNA from 1 species
ACGGCGAGUGAAGCGGCAAAAGCUCAAAUUUGAAAUCUGGUGUCUUCGGCGCCCGAGUUGUAAUUUGAAGAAGGCGAUCUCUGGGGCUGGCUCCUUGUCUAUGUUCCUUGGAACAGGACGUCACAGAGGGUGAGAAUCCCGUAUGGCGAUGAGAUGCCCAAUUCCUUGUAAAGUGCCUUCGAAGAGUCGAGUUGUUUGGGAAUGCAGCUCUAAGUGGGUGGUAAAUUCCAUCUAAAGCUAAAUAUUGGCGAGAGACCGAUAGCGAACAAGUACAGUGAAGGAAAGAUGAAAAGAACUUUGAAAAGAGAGUGAAAAAGUACGUGAAAUUGUUGAAAGGGAAGGGCAUUUGAUCAGACAUGGUGUUUUGCGCCCCUAGCCACUCGUGGGUGGGGGAAUCUCGCAGUUCACUAGGCCAGCAUCAGUUUUGGACGGCAGGAUAAUAUGCCUAGGAAAGUAGCUCUACCACUUCGGUGGCUGAUGAACUUAUAGUCCUGGGUUGAAUACUGCCUGUCUGAGACUGAGGACUGCGUCUUUGACUAGGAUGCUGGCAUAAUGACCUUAAGCCGCCCGUCUU